AGAUGGCGACCGGCGCACGGGUGAGUAACACGUAUCCAACCUGCCGAUAACUCUGGAAUAGCCUUUCGAAAGAAAGAUUAAUACCGGAUAGUAUACGAAUAUCGCAUGAUAUUUUUAUUUAAAGAAUUUCGGUUAUCGAUGGGGAUGCGUUCCAUUAGUUUGUUGGCGGGGUAACGGCCCACCAAGACUACGAUGGAUAGGGGUUCUGAGAGGAAGGUCCCCCACAUUGGAACUGAGACACGGUCCAAACUCCUACGGGAGGCAGCAUG
rnacentral:rRNA from 1 species